UCCUGUAUUAAGAGCUAAAUUAGCUAAAGGUAUGGGUCAUAAUUAUUAUGGGGAACCCGCAUGGCCCAAUGAUCUUUUAUAUAUUUUUCCAGUAGUAAUUCUCGGUACUAUUGCUUGUAACGUGGGCUUAGCGGUUCUAGAACCUUCAAUGAUUGGUGAAGUUUUGUCAAUUUGAUUUGCCUUUUGCGUUUUGCUCACACUUGAUGUUGUAUGAGGAAAAGAAAGAGAAGGAAAAUAGGAGUGAAAUUAAAUGGAAAUUGUAUCGAGAAAUUCUGGUGGUAAAGACUAAGAGAGUCUUAGUGGUUAUAAGAAGGUGGGGAACUGAAAGAACAUCAAUGCUGAGGAAAACCUUAGAACUUGAUAUGCAAGUAUUUAUAGGUAUAGGCCAUAAAUCCAUGAGAUAAAUUGAGCUUCUAAAUAUAUCCGUACAAUGAAAAACCCUAAUAAAACCUUAAAGCAAUAUCCAUUAUUCAUCCUUGUUGGAAGAAAUUGUCUUUAGAGUUAAAUUGCAUAUAUCCCUCCUUCCUUGUGUCAAAAUAGAUGACCUUCCCAAUGAACUAUUGUAAAAGUUGGCUAUAAAAGCCAUUCAAAACCAUUGUAAAAGGGGGCGGGUUCUUUUUUUUUUUGUUUUGUAUAGAUCCUUUCUUUAUCUAUGUAUAUAUAUUAUAUUUUCAUAUAUAUAAUUUAUUUCUUUUGAAGAUCCCGUUUUAAAAUUAUACUCUGUUUAUUUUGACUAUUUUCUUAUUAUUAAUAUGUGUAUUGUAGGAAUCCUUUUUCCUAUUUUCUUCUGUUUUAUAUAUUUAUAUAAUUGUUUUUAUUUCUUUUGUUUGCACCAUUAUUAACAUGUUACCACUACCAUUUUAUUAUUUGUCAUUAAAUCUUUUUUUUGCCACUAUGUUUUAUUGUUAAUAUGCAUCGUUCAGCUUAUUAUGGUAAUUUUAUUUGCAUGUGACAUACCAUUAUUUUCGUUUUUUUAAAUUUUAAUUGCCCAAAUUUAUUUAUUCACAGAUUUAUUCUCAAUUGUUUUUAAAAUAAAGGCAAUGUUCGAUAUUUAAAGAAUUCAAAGGAUCGUGCCCUAAUGUACUGGGCUUCGCUUUAUUUGUUUGUUUUGAAUAUUCGAAUAUCCUCUUAAGGCUAAAACGCACGUUUUAAAGGCAAGCUCACAAUUGAGGGUCAAAAAUGUUGUGUUCUAACGUACUGGAUGUAAUAUUUUACCUUGAGGUGAGAUGGUCUUUAAUACACAUUUGACUUACCUAAAUGUUUUAAAAGCCAAUAAAAGGAGGAUCGCGUUUUGAACUCUAUCCAAAUCUUUAAUUCUCGACAUUAAGACAGUAAAUAAUCAAUCAAGUACCAAUUUUGGGCGUGUCGAGGGUGCUAAUCCUUCCUCGUACGUAACUGACUCUCGAACCAGUUUUCUAUUUUUGCAGACCAAAAUCGUUGUUUUGAAAAAUUUAUUUAUUUAUUAAAAACGACCGUGUUUUGAGGUGAUCCAAUCACACCCUAUUAAAAACGAUUGGUGGCGACUCCCAACUUUUCGUUUUCAAAAGUCGAUUUUCCGUUUUCAAAUAAAAAUGGUUUCGAUAGUUCUGUUUAUUCUUUUUGUUUGUUUACUGUGUAAUUUUGUCAGAGAUUUUGAUUUUCAGCUUUAGAGAAAGUCUAUUUCUUUCAGUAUUUGAAACUCCAGGAACAUCGGACAAGGCAUGGCACCCUUUUUCAGACAUGGCCAUUGGUUUCAAAAUGGUAGCUAGAUCUAGAUCUAUGGUACAUGCCCACUGCCGAGAGUUUAUUUGGUAGUUUUUCUGGAUAACAUGUCUUUUAAAUUUGUUGUGAGUUGUGACAUUCUGUUUCUUAGUUUUCUCAAAAAGUCUGUAAUUUAGUUUUAAAAAAAUAAUAAUAAUAAUCUAAUUGGGAUGGUUGUUGAUAUUGAUAAGAAUUGGAGAAUUUCAACCGACUUGCUAAUUGCAAAGGUUUUUGUCGAUUUGGGUUUCUUGAUCACAUACGAUGGAGAUUGUCAUGAUUCGUGUAUGCAUGUAUGUUUUCUUUUUCAUACUGCUAGGUGCUUUUUUCUUUAAAAUAGUUGGGAUUGUCUGAGUUCUGUUGGGUAUGAUUUGCAAAUGGAUUUUGAUUGGAAGUUUUAGGUAGACCCCUGGUAUCUCUGUAUAUUAGCUGAAUAGGUUCUUUUAAGUGAAUAGCCUACUCCGGGUAUAUCCCACUUCUAUGCUAUCUCCGUUCACAAAUAUUAGUGCCUGGUUUGAUAGUUUUAGUGUCCGGUUCAGCUUUUUUUCUUAUUUGGACCGGACUACUUCUUGUACUUAUUCAUGGCAGGUAUAUCCCAUUCUAGGGAUAUCCUAAGGUUGGAUAUCCCGGUUUGUCACUAUCUCGGUUUGGGGUUUUUAAAAAAUUUAAUAUGCACGGGCUGAGUUUUUACAAAAAUUUUAGAUUAUUUUUUUGGGUUGAGCCUGUAUCAACCUUACCUUUCAAACCUACCCAAUAAAAACUCCCCCAUGAUUAUUAAUGCAUUAAAUUCUGUAGUAUAUUCAUUCAAACUAGGCUAGCUAUUUGAGUAUCUUAUUUAUCUUAUGGAGGGAGAUUGAAGGCCCUGAAGAAUAUCUCCACAAACCGGACUACUUGUCACUCUUAUUCGAGGCAGGGAUAUCCCAUUCCAGAGAUAUCUCGGUUUUGGAAUAUCCAAGAGAGGGAUAACCCGGCUUGGUUAUAUCCCAUUUGAAGGAUAUCCAGACGUUGGUUUAGGGUUUUCUUAAAGUAUUGGGUUAUUAUUAAUAUGCAAAAACACAUAAAACCAUCAGGACUUAAGCAAAACAAAAGCUUGGAAAAAUAGGCUUAAUUUUAUCUGUGUCUAAGCACAUCAUGAUUGUAAUAUUUAAGAAAAUGUUGUAUCUUCAAUUCAUAAAAAUUGAAUAUAAACCUAAUGAUUAUUCUCUUUGGAACAAGCCUGGUGCAACACAAGCCAACUGUGUGCAGAGUGCUGAUGCAAUAUUAGCUUAUCAACAGGUAGCCUCUUCAUGAUUCCCCCUUGAAUAGUGGUGGCCUAUCUGUAUACCACCUGAUAUGUUAAUUUCAUAAUUACUUUUUUUUAUAAUUAAAUAUUAAUUUUCCCUAUCCUAAAAUUUUGGGGUUCUCUUUACUAGGUUGGAGCACCUGUAAUGUGUGAAAUUCAAAAUAUAUGAGGACUAGGAUUUUACUAAGAAUCAAUUUGUAUGGUGUGUUGGUCACUAUUUUGCAUGUUAGGCCAGAAUAAAAAAAAAAUGAAUUAUGGUGUUGACAAUGUCGGCAAGGGUGCUGUAACUACCUGAACCAUUUGAGGUGCAAGAUGUAAAAAAAAGCACUUUUUUGAGUAAAUUAAGGUGAAUAUGUAAAAUUUGUGCUUCUUGAAUCAAGGGGGCUUUUUCGCUUCUAUACAAAAAAGUGUGCCUAGGACUUGGCUUGUGCUUAAUCAAUUGAAAGGAUGGCAUAAAGAAACGCAAAACAUGUGAUAACCCAACAUGUCAAUCUUCUGUUUUCCAAACUCUUAUGGGUUGCAUCAUCUUUUCCUCUAUUUCUCUUCUUUCUUAUCUUUCGAUGGUAAAGUGAUGCAUUGGUGUGUUAUACAGCUCUCUUAUAGGGUUGAAUUAUUUACUUGCUCCAUCUUUGUAACCUUAGGCUGCUAAAAAGAUUCUCCAAAUAACAUGCUGCACCUAGUUGGACCUUAGAAAACAAACUAGCUCUUCUAUUAAGCUCCAUGUAAUUAGUUAUUUGAUUUGUUGAAGCUAUUUGUUAAUUUAGAUGAUUUGAUUAUGCACUUCCUAAAUUUACAUAUACCCUUGAUCAUCUCUUUCAAAAUGCCCUUUUUAAUGCAUUCAGAUCUUGCAUAUGCAGUUUGAUUUGUUUAGCCUCUGUUACUGAGAUUGUCCAUUUAAAAUUAUUUGAUGAUAAACUUCCCUUUACCUGUGUUGGCCAUAUUUUCAGCACUAUUAAAUUUAGUCUUUUGGUCUAUAUCUGAAUCUUUAGGCACUAGUUGAAGCCAAACUAUGUGCGUGCUUAGGCAAACAUGGGUAUCAGUUACGCCAACCAGGUUUGUUAUAUCUUGCACUGUUCUCUCAUUGUCUUGACAUUCAUGAAAAGGGAGCUCCAAUUACUCUACCCUUAACUAUUUUAUUUUAUCGAUGAAAAUAAAAUAAAAAUAUUAUAAUAUUGUUAUGUUAUAAAAUAAAAACCCAAAGUUUCUCUCUGUUAAAUCAAGAUCCAUUGUCAUUAGCUUCUUUCUCUCUCGAAGAAGAAGGAAAAGAAAAGGUUUGAAUUCAUGAAUCAGCUGUAGCUUCUUCCGAAUGAGUGAGUCGAGGUAGUGCUAGUCUUUCUUUUAAGGUAUAAAUUUUGAUUCUUUAGAAAAAUCUUGUUUUUUCUUCAUCUCUUUUUAUUCUGUUCGGUUUCUGAUCGAUGAAAAUUGAGGGAAAUUUGUAUCAAACUUGACAUUAGUCCCUGGUUCUUUUUAAAUAAUUCCUUAUUCACCUGUGAGUUGGCAAAUUCUGUUCAUCCUGCAUUUUCCCGGAAGCCAAACAGGAGACUUAAAUGUUUUUAAUUUCUCCAAUUUCCCUUUAAUUUUUUCUAACGUCUUUUUUCCUUUACUGGCUGUUAAUUUUCUUUCUUAUUCUGUUCGGGCUUUAACUCUGUCAUAUUCCGACUCGGAAUAAGCUAUUCUCUGGAUAUCCUGCCUUUUUUUAUUCCGGUUCUGAAUUUUUGGCUUCCGGUUUAUUGGUUUUAGUUCUCGGUUCAGCUAUUUUUUAAUGUCUGGACCGGCCAACCUGUCAUUAAUGUCUGGACCGGCCAACCUGUCAUACUUAUUUUGGGCAGGGAUAUCCCAUUCCAGGGAUAUCCCGGUUCGUUGUUAUCCCGUAUGGGUAUAUCCCGGCUCGGGUAAUCCCAUUUUUGGAAUAUCCCGAUUCCCCACUUUUUUUUCCUAAGUCUCUUUACCUUCUUUGUCUUUAAUUUCUCAAAAAAAAAAAAAAAAUUAAAGAGGGUAUUAAUUACCAUAAAUGUUACCGUUGUCACAUGGGGAUUUAGAAAAUUAAGUUCUCUCUCUUCCAUUCAUAGCUUCCUCGUUUCUUCACCUAUUCGAAAUUUGAAUCCUCAAAUCUAUCUCUUCUAUCCAUAGCACCCCAUUUAUUCGCCGACUCCCUCUCUCUCUGUGUGUCUGUUUCGAAUUUCUUCCUCUCAUUUUUUUCUAGUUUUGGGUCAUCGAAUGCCAAAAAAAAAAAAAAAACACAGAAAGACGCUACUCUAGGUUUUCUCUGCCGUUUCUGGUUUUUGUGAUUUUUUGAAAUUCUCUUCUUCAUCGGUGACUGAUUUCAGGUAUGAAUCAUGACUUCUACUUUGUCUUUGUCUUUGCCAUUUCAUUUUUGUUUUAGUUUCAGAUCUAUUCUUUAUUACUUGUAUUUCAUUUGAUUUUUUUUUAUGAUAUUUUUGUUUUCUUCUUUAUAAAUUCUUUGUCUUUGCCUUAUCAUCUCUUUUUUUUUUCAGAUAUAUUUAUUUAUCACUCGAAGCAAAGCAAAAGGGAAAGUAGGAGGGUUUUGAGGAUAGUGAAAAACGGUUGGUCCUGCUUCAUCGGACAUUCAUUUCAGGUAUGAAUAUGUACUUAAAAUUUGUCUUUUUAUUUCAUCUCUGUUUUUAGUUUCUUAUAUGUACUUUUUACUAAUAUACACAAAUUUAUAUUUAUCACUCAGACCUAAAUUUGGAGAUGCUAGAACAUAACUUAAGGUCUUUGGUAUAUUUUACAAAUAUUUUUAUAGAAUUGUGAUUAAUUCCAUAAGGACCUGGAUGAGAAGGUCAUCAACAGUUUGUUAUCGUACUAAGUCUUGGACUCUCCAGGAACUACUUAAUUUGGAACUAUCAAGUGAAUCUUAUCUUCUUUCAUUUUAUCAUAUUUUUGUAACUUUCUUUUUCAUUUUAGUCUGUUGCUUACAAUUAUGUAGCAAUUGGAAAGUUUCCUUGAGUUUGAAUAAUCUUUGAUAGACUUUUGUGUCAAUUUUGAGUUAGGGUUUUUAAUUUUUUCUAGUCAAUUUGGUUCGAUUGGAUUUGGUUGAUCUCCAAAUAUGGAUCGAUGUUUUCUCAUGUUAAUUUGCUAAGAAAUAGCCUUAGUUUUGGGUUAGGCUCGAGCUUAGGCCCUUUCAUUUCUCUGUAGCUUCUAGUCUGGCUGGCUUGGGCUUUUGGCAUGUUGAGCAGUUAAAUAGGUGACAAUCAAAGAUAAUGCGUUGUCCUUUCUGUUAACACUAGCUGAUAUCUGAUAUUUGAUCAACAUUAAGUGAAACGUGAUAACAAAAUAUCAAAAGUUUUAAUUAGAGAAGCAUGAAAAUCUUCAGCUAUGAUUAUAGUUUUUUUUAAUGUUAAUUUAUGUUAUUAUUUUCUGUAUGAAUCAUGCAUUCACCUCGUCAGUUGCAUACGAGAAUGACCUAGUUUUAUUAUUUAUCUGUUUGGGGGCAGGUUCACACGAAUAUAUUCUUGCUGUUUCUUUAGGUUAAUAUGUUAAUUCUUUUCUGCUAGGUUUAAGUUUAUUUGACAUUCAUUUGCGCUAACAUUAUGUUUGUUUGCCUUUUUUUUUUUUUUGUUUGUAGGUCUUAGCUUUUAGGGACAUAUCUCCCCAGGCUCCCAUGCACAUUUUAAUUAUUCCAAAAUCAAAUGAUGGCCUAACUGGUUUGUCUAAGGUACAAUUUUUUUGUCCUCAUGACUAACUGAGCAGUAAACGUUUAUGCCCUCUAUCAUAGAGGAAACUACAAUUAUGGCUGGGUAUUAAUUUGGAAAAAAAGUAUGGAGUAUUGUUAAAAGAAUGCUACUCAAGUUUUGUCAAUUUGAUUUGCCUUUUGCGUUUUGCUCACUCUUGAUGCUGUAUGAGGAAAAGAAAGAGAAGGCAAAUAGGAGUGAAAUUAAAUGGAAAUUGUAUCGAGAAAUUCUGGUGGUAAAGACUAAGAGAGUCUUAGCGGUUAUAAGAAGGGGAACUGAAAGAACAUCAAUGCUGAGGAAAACCUUAAAACUUGAUAUGCAAGUAUUGAUAGGUAUAGGCCAUAAAUCCAUGAGAUAAAUUGAGCUUCUAAAUAUAUCCGUACAAUGAAAAACCCUAAUAAAAGCUUAAAGCAAUAUCCAUUAUUCAUCCUUGUUGGAAGAAAUUGUCUUUAGAGUUAAAUUGCAUAUACCCCUCCUUCGUUGUGUCAAAAUAGAUUACCUUCCCAAUGAACAGAAAGUAUGUCACCGAGUCUAGAAUUAAAAAGCUCAUCACCAAGUUAUUUCAAUCCAUCAACUUAUUGCAAUCACUAAAAAACUUGUAAGGUGUGUAAUGAAACAAACAUAAGGCUCCAAGAUGUCCGAUGAAAUAAUUUAGUGUUAGAAUUUGCAAUUUUUGUAUCCAAGGCUUGUUCAUUUGUUUUCUAUGUCAUAAUCACCUGCAUCUAUGACCUCCAUGCUCUGCACGUUUGCAACAGGAAUUUAGCAACAUUUUUGUAUGUCUCUUGAAAUUAUCUUCAAUCUUAUUUUCACGUUUGAGUCACCCGUUCAUUUCUUUCAGUAGUAUGUUUUCAGUGCUUUAUUCGAUAUGUAGGUUUCUCUACCAAUGCAUCAUGUGCAAAUUUGAAAGGACAUGCUAAUGUGUUUUUACCAGGGAACUAUAUCUAACUCCUUGUGCUAUUGCAGAUGGAUAUACCUUCCAAAUUGGCUUUAUCUUUCCUUUUCUUUCUGCUACUAUCUCGUGCUUUGAGUAGUCUUUACAUGCAUGUCACCUUUUAGCCUGCUUUUCUUGCAUAACACAAUUAAUGAGCUAAACAUACAGGAACAAGCUCAGUUAACAUCUGUAGAUCAAAUGAGAGGGGGAAAUAUAGAAAGUUUGUCUGCAAUUCAGCAGACUAGGAUGCUUGCACAUACACU
rnacentral:lncRNA from 1 species